rnacentral:rRNA from 1 species
UGUAAAGUUCAAGCUCCGAUUAUGAGGGCGAACCGCGAAUGGCUCAUUAAAUCAGUCAUAAUCUACUUGAUUGUUUAAAGUUUAUAUGGAUAACUGUGGUAAUUCUAGAGCUAAUACAUGCGUGAAAGGGGCGACUCCGCGAGGAGAAGCUCUGCGUUUAUUAGACUAAGACCGGCGGGAGCUCGCAAGGGCUCUCAUCAUCUAAGGUGACUCUGAGUAAAUAAUGGGUGCAAGCCCAUGUUGCCGACCUGGCAUCUAAACGGCCCCCUCAAAAGGGUCGGCCAGGCGAAUCAAUCGAGUGUCUGCUCUAUCAACUGUGGAUGGUAGGGUAAUUGCCUACCAUGGUGGUGACGGGUAACGGGGAGUUAGGGCUCGACUCCGGAGAACAAGCCUGAGAAACGGCUAGUAGGACUAAGGUCUGCAGCAGGCGCGAAACUUACACAAUGCUAGAUUUCAAUUAGCGAUGUAGUGAAGAAAAAUAACGAUGUACUUGUAUUUAAACAUACUUGUACAAUUGGAAUGAGACGACUCUAAACCAGUCAGUCGAGUAACAAAUGGAGGGCAAGUCUGGUGCCAGCAGCCGCGGUAAUUCCAGCUCCAUUAGCAUACAUUAAAGUUGUUGCGGUUAAAAAGCUCGUAGUUGAAUUUUGGACGGGCUCUUGUAGGAUGCGACCAUUCAAGGCGUACUUGUAUACAUGCUAUUGGCUAAUACCUUUACAUGUUGCAAUGCGCUGGUUGUAGUUCCCACAUGGAACCCGUUGUUUCGUCACUUAAUCGAGUGCGAAGCGGGCUGGUGUAGCACGUGGUUAGUCGCAAGAUUACACCACAUACAACAGCAUGUUUACCUUGAGAAAAUUAGAGUGCUCAGAGCAGGCAGUUGGGAUGUAAAAGUCUCUUUAUGCUUGAAUAAUGUUGCAUGGAAUAAUAGAAUACGGCCUCGGUUCUAUUCUGUUGGUCUUAUAGAACAACAAAUAAGUUGGUUUGGGCGUCAAACGGCCCGCUUGGAGUGUGGUAGUUUUGUGUUUUUGUUGUCUGGGGCCUAAAAAUCUCAGUGCCUCAAUGCUUAAUUGCCAUCUAAGCAUUCCUUGCUACGGUCAGCCUUCAAUCAACUGAGGCAAUGGUUAAAAGAAAUAGUCGCGGCGGCAUCAGUACUGCAUCGUGAGAGGUGAAAUUCUUAGACCGAUGCAAGACUAACUGAAGCGAAAGCGUUUGCCGAGGAUAUUUUCAUUAAUCAAGAACGAAAGUUAGAGGUUCGAAGGCGAUCAGAUACCGCCCUAGUUCUAACCAUAAACGUUGCCAACUAGCAAUUGGAUUGCGAUUCCUUUAGUUGAAGCGUAAAAAACUUCAACCAUUAUGAUCCAUCCAGCGGCUCUCGUAGGGAAACCAAAGUGUUUGGGUUCCGGGGGAAGUAUGAUUGCAAAGUUGAAACUUAAAGGAAUUGACGGAAGGGCACCACCAGGAGUGGAGCCUGCGGCUUAAUUUGACUCAACACGGGGAAACUUACUAGAUUAGAACUCUGGAAUGAUUGACAGAUUGAUAGCUAUUUCUUGAUUCAGAGGAUGGUGGUGCAUGGCCGUUCUUGAUUCGUAUUCCGAAACGUCUGCUUAAUUGCGAUAACGAGUGAGACCUCCCUAAGCUAACUAGUGGUGUCGUGCGCUGUGGAACGCUAAAGUUCUGUGUAAGUUCUAGUUGUGGUUGCUUUCGGGUGAUUGCAGCACCUUGCAUAGGAUGUUCUCUGCUCGCGUACCGACUUCUUAGCUAGAUCCGGAGCAAAAAGCUCCUAGAGACGAGGCAAUAACAGGUCUGUGAUGCCCUUAGAUAUUCUAGGCCGCACGCGUGCUACAAUGGCGUGUGCAGAAAGCUUGUUCGAGAGGCGUCUAAAGAGAACUAGUUGUUUGGUUCAAGUUGGGGGCAACUCUGGCUUGGGUCGGCAGCCAAGUGACUUUAGUAACGACUCGAGAGAAACCGCAGCCGAAAGGUUGUGGCAAUCAAUAAUAGACGCCGUGAUUUGGGAUUGGGGAUUGCAAUUGUUGCCCAUGAACGAGGAAUUCCCAGUAAGCGCGAUUCAUCAUAUCGCGCUGAUUACGUCCCUGCCCUUUGUACACACCGCCCGUCGCUACUACCGAUUGGAAGUUUUAGUGAGGCAUCUGGACUUGCUGGCCAGGGGAUGGGCAACCGUUCCAGGCUUUGCGGGGAAGUUUGUCGAACUCAAAUUUCUAGAGGAAGUAAAAGUCGUAACAAGGUUUCCGU